UAUCACAAGGGAGGGUCUGUUAUAAAAGCCAGUUCAGCUCUCCCUUGUGGGCCUCUCUCUCUCUGUGAUGUCUUCUGCCAUCUUGUGAUGCAGCAAGAAGGCCCUCACCAGAUGCCUCAGUGCCAUGCUCUUAGACUUCCCAUCCUCCAGAACUGUGCCGAAGUUCACUCUUCACAAAUCCCUGAAGCUCUGGAAUCCUGCAGCUGGAAAGGCAGCAGCCAAAGACAUGGCAUGCAGAGUGGAAAUAGCCCCGCCUGAGGACUGUCACCUGCUGGGCACUUCACUGACAUACAGAAACCCAGGACAAGAGGAACGCAUUCUACCAUCAAGGGGCUGCAGAUUAUCCCAAACUGAAUUUCUCUCUGAUAUCUCCUCACUUAUUUAUUUUAAAAUAAAAAUAUUUUUGUACUGCUUGAAUUUUGUGAAAGCUUUACAUAAAACGGCCUCUAUGCAAUUCUACACCUGAGAUAUAACCAUUAUUAAUUGUUGGCAUUUACCCUCAGACUUUUAAUGCAUAUGUUAAUGUAUAUUUUAAUGUAAAUAGGAUCAUUCUGUAUGUUGUUUAAUAUCCUCAAAAUAUAGCAUACUUCUUUCCAUGGUAACACUAAAAGG